rnacentral:rRNA from 1 species
GGGGGCCCGCACAAGCGCUGGGNCAUGUGGUUUAAUUCGAUGCAACGCGAAGAACCUUACCUGGGCUUGAAAUCGCCCGGACAGUCGGUGGGAAACACGAUCUUCUUCGGACCGGGUGACAUGUGUUGCAUGGCUGUCGGUCAGCUCGUGUCGUGAGAUGUUGGGUUAAGUCCCGCAACGAGCGCAACCCUUGCCUUUAGUUGCCAUCUUUAAGUAGGGCACUCUAGAGGGACUGCCGGUGUUAAACCGGAGGAAGGUGGGGAUGACGUCAAGUCCUCAUGGCCAUUAUGUCCAGGGCUACACACGUGCUACAAUGGGUCGUACAAAGGGCGGCGAACCUGCAAAGGGGAGCAAAUCCCAAAAAACGGCUCUCAGUCCGGAUUGAAGUCUGCAACUCGACUUCAUGAAGCUGGAAUCGCUAGUAAUCGCGGAUCAGCAUGCCGCGGUGAAUACGUUCCCGGGCAUUGUANACACCGCCCGUCACACCACGAAAGCUGGCUGCACCAGAAGUCGCUGGGCUAACCCGCAAGGGAGGCAGGCGCAUAA